rnacentral:rRNA from 1 species
AGUCGAGGGGUAACAUUGUAGCUUGCUACAGAUGACGACCGGCGCACGGGUGCGUAACGCGUAUGAAACCUGCCUUUUACUGGGGGAUAGCCCGAAGAAAUUCGGAUUAAUACCCCAUAAUAAUAAUUGAUGGCAUCAUUAAUUAUUUAAAACUCCGGUGGUAAAAGAUGGUCAUGCGUGACAUUAGCUAGUUGGUAAGGUAACGGCUUACCAAGGCAACGAUGUCUAGGGGUUCUGAGAGGAAGGUCCCCCACACUGGUACUGAGACACGGACCAGACUCCUACGGGAGGCAGCAGUGAGGAAUAUUGGUCAAUGGACGCAAGUCUGAACCAGCCAUGUCGCGUGCAGAAGACUGCCUAUGGGUUGUAAACUGCUUUUAUACGGAAGAAUGUAGCUACGAGUAGUUAUUUGCCGGUACGUAUGAAUAGCAUCGGCUAACUCCGUGCCAGCAGCCGCGGUAAUAC